rnacentral:rRNA from 1 species
AUGGAAGCUAUGAUGAAGGAAUUGGUCCUGAAAGAAGAUGAUCUGGAGGAUGUUGUGGUUCAGGAUGGCGACAUACCAGAGGAAGCGGCGCGGUGGAUGGCGAUCGCGCGGGUGCACAUUGAUAAGCCGUACAGUCAGUAUUGGUUUUUUCGUAACAUGCGGGUUGCAUGGGAUCUAGCACAAGAAGUCAAGUUCCGCCCUCUAGAAGACAACCUCUAUACUAUGCAAUUCUCCUGCCUGGGUGAUUGGGAG